AUUGAACGCUGGCGGCAGGCCUAACACAUGCAAGUCGAGCGCGCGGCGCACGGGUGAGUAAUGUCUGGGAAACUGCCUGAUGGGGGGGGAGAACUACUGGAAACGGUAGCUCAUACCGCAUACCAUCAGAUGUGCCCAGAUGGGAUGAGCUCGUAGGUGGGGUAACGGCUCACCUAGGCGACGAUCCCUAGCUGUUCUGAGAGGAUGACCAGCCAAACUGGAACUGAGACACGGUCCAGACUCCUACGGGAGGCAGCAGUGGGGAAUAUUGCACAAUGGGCGCAAGCCUGAUACAGCCAUGCCGCGUGUGUGAAGAAGGCCUUCGGGUUGUAAAGCACUUUCAGCGGGGAGGCGUUACCCGCAGAAGAAGCACCGGCUAACUCCGUGCCAGCCGCCGCGGUAAUUC
rnacentral:rRNA from 1 species